rnacentral:rRNA from 1 species
UACGUAGGGGGGCAAGCGUUUGUCCGGAUUUAUUGGGCGUAAAGAGCGUGUAGGCGCCAGGUAGGUCUGCUGUGAAAACUCGAGGCUUAACCUCGAGCUGUCGGCGGAAACCAUCUGGCUAGAGUCCGGAAGAGGAGAAUGGAAUUCCCGGUGUAGCGGUGAAAUGCGCAGAUAUCGGGAAGAACACCCGUGGCGAAGGCGGUUCUCUGGGACGGUACUGACGCUGAGACGCGAAAGCGUGGGGAGCGAACAGG